GAUGAACGCUGGCGGCGUGCCUAAUACAUGCAAGUCGAGCGAACGGACGAGAAGCUUGCUUCUCUGAUGUUAGCGGCGGACGGGUGAGUAACACGUGGAUAACCUACCUAUAAGACUGGGAUAACUUCGGGAAACCGGGGCUAAUACCGGAUAAUAUUUUGAACCGCAUGGUUCAAAAGUGAAAGACGGUCUUGCUGUCACUUAUAGAUGGAUCCGCGCUGCAUUAGCUAGUUGGUAAGGUAACGGCUUACCAAGGCAACGAUGCAUAGCCGACCUGAGAGGGGGAUCGGCCCCACUGGAACUGAGACACGGUCCAGACUCCUACGGGAGGCAGCAGUAGGGAAUCUUCCGCAAUGGGCGAAAGCCUGACGGAGCACCGCCGCGUGAGUGAUGAAGGUCUUCGGAUCGUAAAACUCUGUUAUUAGGGAAGAACAUAUGUGUAAGUAACUGUGCACAUCUUGACGGUACCUAAUCAGAAAGCCCCGGCUAACUACGUG
rnacentral:rRNA from 1 species